CCUACGGGAGGCAGCAGUGAGGAAUAUUGGUCAAUGGGCGCGAGCCUGAACCAGCCAAGUCGCGUGAAGGAUGACUGCCCUACGGGUUGUAAACUUCUUUUAUAAAGGAAUAAAGUGAGGCACGUGUACCUUUUUGUAUGUACUUUAUGAAUAAGCAUCGGCUAACUCCGUGCCAGCAGCCGCGGUAAUACGGAGGAUCCGAGCGUUCUCCGGAUUUAUUGGGUUUAAAGGGAGCGUAGAUGGGUUGUUAAGUCAGUUGUGAAAGUUUGCGGCUCAACCGUAACAUGGCAAUUGAUACUGGCAGGCUUGAGUACAGGUGAGGUAGGCGGAAUUCGUGGUGUAGCGGUGAAAUGCUUAGAUAUCACGAAGAACUCCGAUUGCGAAGGCAGCUUACUAAACUGCAACUGACACUGAGGCUCGAAAGUGUGGGUAUCAAACAGGAUUAGAUACCCCUGUAGUC
rnacentral:rRNA from 1 species